UCGCUUUUCAAUACGAGCCGUUAGGAUGUCUAACCGUCUCUUUGCAAACGUCACGAGGAGUGUCACGGAAUAUACAGAGACCGGGCGAUUAGAUUCGUUUCUUAUCUAGACCUUUUCCCCUCUGGGUGGUUCAUCACGUGUUUUCGAGCUGUCAUCUCUAUCAAUUGUAAGUGCAUAAAGGAGGUAUUUUCGAUCAAUAAUUAAAAGAAAGUUGAGUGUUUGUUUUA